rnacentral:misc_RNA from 1 species
ACAUAGAGUGAAAUAAGUGCACAUUUUAAGUAUACAGUAAUUCUAGUCAGUGUUACAAUAUUUUAUGCGGAUUAAUAGAAAGCCGUUUAGCAGCUUUUCUGAGUCAAGUCCGACAAUCCGGCUGUUUUGUCGCUCAUCAGUGAUGAAAUCGCCAUAUCAAGUCUCUGUGAUAAUUAGGACAUGAACGCAGUUCUGCCAUUGUCUUUCAAACAUUUACCCACCUGUUUUACACAUAUUCCUAUUUAUAUACAUCUAAUGUCCCGUGUGCGUCUUUGACUUGUUUAUAUUCUAACAGAAAUAUAUAUAGCUAGUGCGUCAAACUUUUGUUUCAGUUGAGGCUUCUGGGUGCUACAUGAAGAUUUGUUGAAUUAUACAUACAUGCAUGCUUUUAUGUAUAUUUUUGUUUGUUUGUGCAAUGAGAUUAAAUUUGAAAUAUGUGCGAUCAGAACGUAAUAAAUAAAAAAAAAA